CUCGUCGACGACGGCUUCCGGUUCUCUGGAGCUGGUGCACCGUUGCCCGCAGUCGUGGCUUCCGAUCUGACGGCGGAUAACGAUGAAGAUGCUGCUGUCAUCACCACCGCCAUUGUUCGCUACUCCUUGUCGUUAACAUUACUACAUCUUGAUGGAAUGCAUAAGCUAAUGAUUUCGUGCCAUGGAUUUGUGCAUCACAAGUUAAUGGUGCAGCUUUGGUACGCCGUUAAAACCGUGAGAUCUCAUGGAGUACUCCUUGAUCAGUUUGGAGAAGAAUGAAUUCUCUCUUUCCAGUAACUUAGCUGGCGAGUCAUACUCUGCUAUUCUCCCUGCUCAUGGAAACAUUAGACUUGUUAGAGACUGAUGCAGAUAUUCAUCAAGCACAAUUAGGCAGUAUGAUAAUUACCAUCACUCAGCACUAAGACCAGAUCACUGUCUAUAACUGUGUGGAUUCUGUGAGCUAUUGUGACCACUGUCCUAUCUUGGAAUUCUUGACUGAUGAUCUUCUGUAUGGCUCCAUCAGUUGCUGAGUCGACAGAUGCAGUCGCCUCAUCUAGGACGAGGAUGCUGCUCUUCUUUAGCAGAGCUCUCCCGAGACAGAACAGCUGCCUCUGGCCAACGCUCCAGUUCUCUCCAUUCUCCACCACUGAUGCCACAAUCUACGCGUUUUAGAAGCUUUCAUGGUGAAAAACGAAUGCUGAAAUGUGUCCACAUACUAACCUGAACUUUCCAGCUUAUCUGGCUUUUGACGCACUAUAUCUCCAAGUUGGCAUUUAUCCAACGCCUGCAGAGAAACCAAUAAGGAUCUUAUCAUUUGAUGAUUUUCUGAAAGUAUUUCCUUAUGUUGGCCACAUUUUGUAGUAUACGAUUGUACCUCCCAGAUUUGGUUGUCCGAGUGUCGCUCUAAGGGGUCAAGAUUGCCUCGGAUAGUUCCUUCGAACAUGGUUGGAUCCUGUGGAAUGAUACUGAGCCUUGAUCUGAGAUCAUGAAGGCCUAUCUUAGAUAUGUCGACAUCAUCAAUGACAAUGCUGCCUUCUCUUGCUUCCACAACACGGAAGAUGGCCUGUAUGAGGGUCGAUUUCCCACUACCCGUCCUUCCCACAACCCCUACUUUCUUUCUCCCAGGGAAAGUACAGGUGAUGUUUUUCAACACAGAUGGGAGAUGCUCAGCAUAGCGUAUCUACAACCACAUAAUCAAUGUAUACUUUGUUAUUUACAAGCAACAGAAAGUCAGAAACAAAGAAUACUGAAAGCAAUGCCAAGUUAGUUAGUUAACCUGCAAAUUCGUGAAGCAAAUAGUUCCAAAAUCCGGCCAGUUUGAUGGAGGCCUACUGUGUUCUAUUACCAGUGGGGCUUCACUUGCGAGAUGUGAAUACUGGAGAAUCCGCUCGACUGAUAUCAUUUUGUUUUCUGCAUUGCAUAUAUUCCAUAUGACUGAAGCUUGUUGAGCAUUCAAAUUUAUACCGUAGGUGACUGCAAGUCCUGCAAUGCCUGUACAAAGACAAGUUGUUGGGAGAGUAACUAGCAAGAGCAGAGAAAAGGCAAAGACGAAAUUGGCCAACUGGUUUAGUCUGAAAGACAGCCAUUCCAUGGCAGAUACAUUAUGAAACCACGGUCUUGAAUGGUUGUCGAUGAGGCAGAGGUUAGCACCAGUGAAGCGCUCCUGCUGGUCAAAAGCACGGAUGGUUGCUGCUCCGGUCAGUGAUUCUGCAAAAUGAUGAAGGAUCGGAGCUCCUUCAAUUCCUGCUAGACGCGCUAGCUCUCUUGCUGUUGGUAUGUAAUAUCUCUGAAAACCACAGGCAAAAAAGGUUACAGAUUCAUGGACACAUGAAACAAAAUGAUGCUUAUUUUGCGAGGCAUUAGUCAUACCUGGUACCAGAUGCAGAUAGCCGUCACUGGAAUGAAUAUGACGAAAAUUUCCCACGCAACUUGUGACAUGACAGCUAUAGUUCCAAGCAGCAGAAUUAUAGAGAAGGCGCACGAACCUAAUUUGUAUGCCAUUUCCAAGUCCAAGACACUCUGAUCUGUGGAAACCUGUUCACAGCAGGGUUGAGUCAAAGAAUGCCAUUGGAGCGCGGAGAACACUGUUCAGCAUGUUGCUGAAGAACUUUUCUGCCGUGCGCAGACCUGCUAUGGCGACUAAAGAAGAACGGAGUAGCACACAGAAUGCAC